AGUUUUGGUCUGGGUAACCGAGAGGUGACCGCCAUCUUGCGUACGGAGAGGUUCGUGUCUUCCUAAAAGAAGGUUUUAUUGGGAGGUAAAGGUCAAUGCGUAGGGGUAGAGUAAGAUGUCUUAUGGUGAAAUUGAAGGUAAAUUCUUGGGACCUAGAGAAGAAGUAACGAGUGAACCACGCUGUAAAAAAUUGAAGUCAACUACAGAGGCGUCUGUUUUUCACAAUCAUAGUAAUGCUGAUUUUCACAGAAUCCAAGAGAAAACUGGAAAUGAUUGGGUCCCUGUGACCAUCAUUGAUGUCAGAGCACAUAGUUAUUUGCAGGAGAACAAAACCACAACUACAGAUUUGCAUAGACCUUUGCAUGAUGAGAUGCCUGGUAAUAGACCAGAUGUUAUUGAAUCCAUUGAUUCACAGGUUUUGCAGGAAGCACGUCCUCCAUUAGUAUCCACAGACGAUGAGAUAUAUAGCACAAGUAAAGCAUUUAUAGGACCCAUUUACAAACCCCCUGAGAAAAAGAAACGUAAUGAAGGGAGGAAUGAGGCAGAUGCUCUAAAUGGUAUAAAUGACAGAGGAGGACAAAAAGAGAAACAGAAAUUUAACUCUGAAAAGUCAGAGAUUGACAAUGAAUUAUUCCAGUUUUACAAAGAAAUUGAAGAGCUUGAAAAGGAAAAAGAUGAUUUUGAGAACAGUUGUAAAGAAUCUGAACCUUCUCAGG
rnacentral:sRNA from 1 species